UCGUAUGAUAAAUUGAAAGGCACUAUUAUCUGCCUGUUGUGAAGAGGAACUGCUUAGGCUUUGAUAAGAUAUCACCAGUCCCAGGUGAGAGGAGGCUGACAGCACAUCAAGACAAGAAAACACAUGGAAGCAGUGAACAUGGGAGCAAAAGUGUUCAAAGGUAGAAGGGAUCUUCAUGAGGAACAGGAGUGCAGAGGAAGACAGGACUUUUCGCACAAGAUCAGGAAAAAAAAAAAAGUUUCAUGUAUAGAGUGGGAGAGAAGAAGCUGAAAAACAGGCAAAGAGGGAAGGGAAGCAUUUGGAUGCCACAGGGCAACAGCAGGUUGCAGAAAAAUGAAGAGCAAGGCUGUGGAAAAGCAUCUGAUCCCGACCAGCUCCACACUAACCUGC
rnacentral:lncRNA from 1 species